rnacentral:rRNA from 1 species
UCUGGUUGAUCCUGCCAGAGGUUACUGCUAUCGAGGUUCGACUAAGCCAUGCGAGUCGAAUGUAGCAAUACAUGGCGUACUGCUCAGUAACACGUGGACAACCUACCCUUGGGACGGGGAUAAACCCGGGAAACUGGGUAUAAUACCCGAUAGAUCUCGGAAGCUGGAAUGCAUCGAGAUCGAAAGCUCCGGUGCCCAAGGAUGGGUCUGCGGCCUAUCAGGUAGUAGUGGGUGUAGUGUACCUACUAGCCUACGACGGGUACGGGUUGUGAGAGCAAGAGCCCGGAGAUGGAUUCUGAGACACGAAUCCAGGCCCUACGGGGUGCAGCAGGCGCGAAAACUUUACAAUGCCGGCAACGGCGAUAAGGGGACCUCGAGUGCCAGGUUACAAAUCUGGCUGUCGUAAUGCCUAAAAAGCAUUUCAUAGCAAGGGCCGGGCAAGACCGGUGCCAGCCGCCGCGGUAACACCGGCGGCUCGAGUGGUAACCGUUAUUAUUGGGUCUAAAGGGUCUGUAGCCGGCCGGAUAAGUCUCUUGGGAAAUCUGGCAGCUUAACUGUCAGGCUUUCAGGGGAUACUGUCUGGCUCGAGGCCGGGAGAGGUGAGAGGUACUUCAGGGGUAGGGGUGAAAUCUUGUAAUCCUUGAAGGACCACCAGUGGCGAAGGCGUCUCACCAGAACGGACCUGACGGCAAGGGACGAAAGCUAGGGGCACGAACCGGAUUAGAUACCCGGGUAGUCCUAGCCGUAAACGAUACUCGCUAGGUGUCGGCCACGGUGCGACCGUGGUCGGUGCCGUAGGGAAGCCGUGAAGCGAGCCACCUGGGAAGUACGGCCGCAAGGCUGAAACUUAAAGGAAUUGGCGGGGGGAGCA